rnacentral:lncRNA from 1 species
AUACUAGGGUUGCAUUCACUUUAGAGAAUCUAGAAAGCCCUAGAAUUAAGUGUUUGUAUCUUUUAAAAAAAAAGAAAAGUUAAAAUUUGUUAGUCUUCUAUUCACCCUCCCUCUAGUCGACCAUACCGAUCUUUCACCUGAGCGCCGCCUCCCUCCCCUCCCCUGGCGAGCGCUUCCUUCGGCUAGAACCGCCUCCAUCUCCUUUCGCUGGGAGCCCACUCCAUCCCUACCUUGAUUCGCGAGCUCUCCUUCCCCGGCGGCGAGCGCCGCUACAUCCCCUUCCCAGGCGAGCGCCGCCUCCAUCUUUCGCCCGCCACAGCCGCCUCCAUCUUUCGCCCGCCACAGCCGCCGAACAACACUGCCUCCCUUGAGCUUCCCACCGACGACAGCCAGAUCCAGCGACGCGUCGCCAACCUCG